CAAUGCGGGAACCGUGACGGGGUGACCCCGAGUGCCAGAGGGGGAAUCUCCUCUGGCUUUUCCCCGGUGUAAACAGCCGGGGGAAUAAGCGGGGGGCAAGGCGCGUGGCAGCCGCCGCGGUAACACGUCGCUCCGCGAGUGGUACCCGCGAAUAUUGGGCCUAAAGCGUCCGUAGCCGGUCCGGUAAGUCCUCGGUUAAAUCGGCGGGCUUAACCCGUCGGCUGCCGGGGAUACUGCCGGGCUCGGGACCGGGAGAGGCCGAGGGUAUUCCCGGGGUAGGGGUAAAAUCCUGUAAUCCCGGGAGGACCACCUGUGGCGAAGGCGCUCGGCCAGAACGGGUCCGACGGUGAGGGACGAAAGCUGGGGGAUCAAACCGGAUUAGAGACCCGGGUAGUCCCAGCUGUCAACCAUGCGGACUAGGUGUCGCGCGAGCUACGGGCUCGCGCGGUGCCGGAGGGAAGCCGUUAAGUCCGCCGCCUGGGGAGUACG
rnacentral:rRNA from 1 species